CAGCCGCCACGGUAAUACGAAGGUCCCGAGCGUUGUUCGGAAUCACUGGGCGUAAAGGGAGCGUAGGCGGCGUGGUAAGUCAGAUGUGAAAUCCCGGGGCUCAACCCCGGAACUGCAUCCGAUACUGCCAUGCUAGAGGAUUGGAGAGGUAGCUGGAAUUCUUGGUGUAGCAGUGAAAUGCGUGGAGAUCAAGAGGAACACUCGUGGCGAAAGCGAGCUACUGGACAAUAACUGACGCUGAGGCUCGAAGGCCAGGGUAGCGAAAGGGAUUAGAUACCCCCGUAGUCCCUGUCUCUUAUAC
rnacentral:rRNA from 1 species